GGGGUUGUGGCUCAGUGGUAGAGCGCUUGCCUAACCUGUGUGAGGCACUGGGUUCAAUUCUCAGCACCACUG
rnacentral:tRNA from 1 species